GACGAACGCUGGCGGCGUGCCUAAUACAUGCAAGUUGAGCGCUGAAGGUUGGUACUUGUACCAACUGGAUGAGCAGCAAACGGGUGAGUAACGCGUGGGGAAUCUGCCUUUGAGCGGGGGACAACAUUUGGAAACGAAUGCUAAUACCGCAUAAAAACUUUAAACACAAGUUUUAAGUUUGAAAGAUGCAAUUGCAUCACUCAAAGAUGAUCCCGCGUUGUAUUAGCUAGUUGGUGAGGUAAAGGCUCACCAAGGCGAUGAUACAUAGCCGACCUGAGAGGGGGACCGGCACAUUUGGAACGGGACCACGCCCCAACCUCCGAGGGAAGGAAGAGGAGGGAAAUCUUCGGCAAUGACGGAAAGCUGAACCGGGAAAGGCGGGUGGGGGGAAGAAGUUUUCGGGUUGGUAAACUCUGUUGGUAGAGAAGAACGUUGGUGAGAGUGGAAAGCUCAUCAAGUGACGGUAACUACCCAGAAAGGGACGGCUAACUACGUG
rnacentral:rRNA from 1 species